ACGAACGCUGGCGGCGUGCUUAACACAUGCAAGUCGAACGGAAAGGCCCUGCUUUUGUGGGGUGCUCGAGUGGCGAACGGGUGAGUAACACGUGAGUAACCUGCCCUUGACUUUGGGAUAACUUCAGGAAACUGGGGCUAAUACCGGAUAGGAGCUCCUGCUGCAUGGUGGGGGUUGGAAAGUUUCGGCGGUUGGGGAUGGACUCGCGGCUUAUCAGCUUGUUGGUGGGGUAGUGGCUUACCAAGGCUUUGACGGGUAGCCGGCCUGAGAGGGUGACCGGCCACAUUGGGACUGAGAUACGGCCCAGACUCCUACGUGAGGCAGCAGUGGGGAAUCUUGCACAAUGGGCGGAAGCCUGAUGCAGCAACGCCGCGUGCGGGAUGACGGCCUUCGGGUUGUAAACCGCUUUCGCCUGUGACGAAGCGUGAGUGACGGUAAUGGGUAAAGAAGCACCGGCUAACUACGUG
rnacentral:rRNA from 1 species